GCCAGGUGUUACGGUGUGUGCCUGUAGUCCCAACUACUCGGGAGGCUGAAGAGGGAGGAUUUCUUGAGCCCAGGAGUUCUGAGCUGCAGUGUGCUAUGCUGAUCCUGUGCUAUGCACCAAGUUAGGCAUCAAUAUGGUGACCUACCGGGAGGCGGGACUAUCAGGUUGCCUCAGGAGGGGUGAAAUGGCUCAGGUCAGAAGGAGAGUAGGUCAAAACUUUCAUACUGAUCAGUAGUGGGAUUGCACUUGUGAAUAGCCACUGUACUUUAGUCUGGGAAACAUAGCAAGACCCCAUCCCU
rnacentral:SRP_RNA from 1 species